AUUGAACGCUGGCGGCAUGCUUUACACAUGCAAGUCGAACGGCAGCGGGGGCUUCGGCCUGCCGGCGAGUGGCGAACGGGUGAGUAAUGCAUCGGAACGUACCCAGUCAUGGGGGAUAACUACGCGAAAGCGUAGCUAAUACCGCAUACGCCCUGAGGGGGAAAGCGGGGGAUCGCAAGACCUCGCGUGAUUGGAGCGGCCGCUGUCGGAUUAGCUAGUUGGUGGGGUAAAGGCCUACCAAGGCGACGAUCCGUAGCGGGUCUGAGAGGAUGAUCCGCCACACUGGGACUGAGACACGGCCCAGACUCCUACGGGAGGCAGCAGUGGGGAAUAUUGGACAAUGGGCGAAAGCCUGAUCCAGCAAUGCCGCGUGUGUGAAGAAGGUCUUCGGAUCGUAAAGCACUUUCGACAGGGACGAUGAUGACGGUACCUGUAGAAGAAGCCCCGGCUAAACUUCGUGCCAGCAGCCGCGGUAAU
rnacentral:rRNA from 1 species